GAACGAUGAACCACUUCGGUGGGGAUUAGUGGCGAACGGGUGAGUAACACGUGGGCAAUCUGCCCUUCACUCUGGGACAAGCCCUGGAAACGGGGUCUAAUACCGGAUACUGACCCUCGCAGGCAUCUGCGAGGUUCGAAAGCUCCGGCGGUGAAGGAUGAGCCCGCGGCCUAUCAGCUUGUUGGUGAGGUAAUGGCUCACCAAGGCGACGACGGGUAGCCGGCCUGAGAGGGCGACCGGCCACACUGGGACUGAGACACGGCCCAGACUCCUACGGGAGGCAGCAGUGGGGAAUAUUGCACAAUGGGCGAAAGCCUGAUGCAGCGACGCCGCGUGAGGGAUGACGGCCUUCGGGUUGUAAACCUCUUUCAGCAGGGAAGAAGCGAAAGUGACGGUACCUGCAGAAGAAGCGCCGGCUAACUACGUGCCAGCAGCCGCGGUAAUACGUAGGGCGCAAGCGUUGUCCGGAAUUAUUGGGCGUAAAGAGCUCGUAGGCGGCUUGUCACGUCGGUUGUGAAAGCCCGGGGCUUAACCCCGGGUCUGCAGUCGAUACGGGCAGGCUAGAGUUCGGUAGGGGAGAUCGGAAUUCCUGGUGUAGCGGUGAAAUGCGCAGAUAUCAGGAGGAACACCGGUGGCGAAGGCGGAUCUCUGGGCCGAUACUGACGCUGAGGAGCGAAAGCGUGGGGAGCGAACAGGAUUAGAUACCCUGGUAGUCCACGCCGUAAA
rnacentral:rRNA from 1 species